UACGGAGGGUGCAAGCGUUAUCCGGAUUCACUGGGUUUAAAGGGUGCGUAGGCGGGCAGGCAAGUCAGUGGUGAAAUCUCCGAGCUUAACUUGGAAACUGCCGUUGAUACUAUCUGUCUUGAAUAUUGUGGAGGUGAGCGGAAUAUGUCAUGUAGCGGUGAAAUGCUUAGAUAUGACAUAGAACACCAAUUGCGAAGGCAGCUCGCUACACAUAUAUUGACGCUGAGGCACGAAAGCGUGGGGAUCAAACAGG
rnacentral:rRNA from 1 species